CGGAAAUUUUUAAGGAGUCGUCAAGAAAAACACGAGAGUGAAGAGUGCGGCCGUGCCUCAGAACGCAAGAUUAGUAUGCCACGGUCCGUCCCGUAUCUGCGCACUAGCAGCAGAUAAUUUGGAAACAAAAAUUUUGAGUGACUCCGUUUAUAAGAGCAUCAAAACUGUCAAGCACGUAAGACUACGUUUAACAGAAGGUCCACAAGAUCCCUAUGAAGCACGGCUGAGGGAAAUAGGGGAGACCCGAAUGAGUGGAGAAGCAUCCUGCAUGGCGUGGAGUGUUCAUAGUCGCUAAGCGGUCGGUUCUACCCUACGGACGCAACGUGCAGUCACCGUGGAAGCCGAGCAGGUCUGAGACAGGCCGGGGUGGGGGUGGGGGGGCCAGGGGCAGAGGAGGACCGGUGGGGUGGGCUGGGACAAAGCCCGCCUCUGUAGCGCCGGCGAGUGGGGCCCAGCACUGUUCACCUUCUCGCAGUUCAGCCAGGACUGCUGUCCUCACCAUGACGCAAGGAAAGAGAGGUUGUUUGACCCGGCCAGAGUCACGCAGCUGCACAGAGGCCCGGCUGAGAGUGGACCCCGCACUCCUGCCCCGACCUCACGCCCUCGAGGGUCCUCUGCCCUGACCUCACGCCCUCGAGGGUCCUCUGCCCUGACCUCACGUCCUCGAGGGUCCUCUGCCCUGACCUCACGCCCUCGAGGGUCCUCUGCCCUGACCUCACGCCCUCGAGGGUCCUCUGCCCUGACCUCACGCCCUCGAGGGUCCUCUGCCCUGACCUCACGCCCUCGAGGGUCCUCUGCCCUGACCUCACGCCCUCGAGGGUCCUCUGUCCUGACUUCAUGCCCUCGAGGGUCCUCUGCUGCCAGAUGAUCUGUUACUCAUCACCAUCUUGCUCCUCAGAUGAGGGUGAGAACCUUUGACGAAGCCCACGUCCUGCGAAGGGGACACGGGGAUUUCUCACAGAGGCAAGACCCGGAUCGUUUCAGCAUUUGCCGAGCAUAAUUAAAAAGCAGGAAGAGAAUGAAUAAAGCAAUGUCUUUCUUACGAUGUGCAGCCCAAAGUCACGGUGUGGCUCCAUAACAUCCGUGCUACCUCCUGGAACGAUGCGGGUGCUCUCAAGGCAAAACUUCAAGUUGCUGACAGAACUCACUCUGACAUUCUGUGGUGGAAGCCGUGGACGGAAACCCAGGCCUGCCCCUGCUGCCACCUGGGAUCCGUGAGGGCGGUGGGCCGCAGGGUAAGGGUAGUGUCAUUUGGCGUGAAGGGAAGAGAAAACACAGUCAGGGGUGCUCUGGGGGCUGGCCUGCAAGAGAGCGGGGGCCGCCGGAGACUUUCCCAUCACCUCUCUGUGGUUGGUCUCCUCCUCCGACCCCCUGAGCAUUUCUUUACUUUCCAAAAAUGUAAACGGGGGCUUCCGGACGGGGAGGUCAUGGUCGGCUCUUGGUGUCUGUGCUUCUCUGGGUAAAGCUAACUGGUCCACCGUCCUCCCAGCACAGUGCACACCUGGAGUGGGCGGUGGGGGACACGGGCACAGGUCUCAGGACCGUCAGCAGAUGUGAACGUGGGCCGGCUGCUGGACGACCUGAGGGACCGCGUUUAUCCGGUCCCCACGGGGGUCUGUGGUUGCCCGUGGUGCCAAGCCCCGGAGGAAACCGGCCUCAUUCUUUAGAAAUGCCCGGUGAAGUACCGAGGGGUAAAAUGCCACGCUCUCUGUCAGUUGGCCAAAAUCCUCUGACCCAAACAGUAGAUGGAGCAAAUAUAACAAAAUGCCGAAUUGUUAAAUCGGUGGUAAGUGCCUGGGUAUGUGUGAUUCUCUUCUCUCUACGUGUGUGUAUGUUGAAGAUCUUUCCCACUCACUUGUUGAUCCUAGCCAGUGCUCCGGGCCACCGCCCCGCCCAGGGUACAAGGGUGGGAGCCGAAACCUCCCGGGUCAGCUGAGGGUCCAGCCAGCCUUGACUGCUGGGCAGGUGUAAUCACUGAAAGAAAAUGACAAAGUUCCGAUGACCCCUCGUCCGCUGCCCCAAACCCAGACUGUCUCCUUCCCCUCGCGGCCUUUCUCUCUAUCUCUGUCUUAAGUUUUUUCCCACGAGGGAAACUACGUCAAGCCCCUUUCUCUAACUUACUUAACUGGACGUCAGGGGAAAAUGGGCACAGAAUCACUUCUGUGGCCACCAUCCCACAUAGCAAUUAUGCUCAAUUGCAUUUCCUCUGGAAUUAGCAGUCCUGGGCAUUCGGGGGUGAGAUGUUCCGAGGCAGCUCUGUGUGGUUUGAGCAGGUAUGAAGUCUCUUUGUAGCAGACUUCCUGGGCCGGGCCGUGCAUCUUUCCAGGAGCCCUGGUGUGCAGUGUGUGUGUGCGCAGUGUUUCCCGAGCCCCACUGACCACACGACCUUCCCCGCCUGCCUCUUAUCCUGUAGGACGCCACUGUCACCCUCAUCAUUUUUCUGCUGCUCUGUGACCCAUUUACUUUAGAGACGCUGCGAACUGUCUGGGGGCAGUAGAUUUCAAAGUAAUGAUGCUUCCAGCCAUAACCUGAGGUAAAAGAGUGAGGCUCUGUGCCCGCUCCCCCAGCCCACGGACACCAGGCAGCCCUCCUUGAGGAGCAGGGAGGAGCCGGGAGGAGCUGGCCUGUCACUCACUCUGUGGCCCUCGCCCGGGAGCAGCCCGGACCCACAUCCCUCUGGGGCCGGAACGCCGAGGGGACGCGCUGGCCUUGGCACCCGCCUCCCCACGGCGGUCAACACGCUGGGGUUUAUCUCCCGCUUCCCCAGCUCGGAAGUCGUCCACAUUCAGGAAGAGAGAGUGUGACCCCAUGGCGACAGGUCUGAGCCUUCUGGAAGCGUCUUCAGAAACAUCAGUUUCAGCGGGAGCCCUCCUCGAGACACCGGGUCUAUGUCCUCGCCCCGCAGUCACCCCAUUGCUUUGCUGAGUCGUGGAUAAUGCAGCUGGGGACACGUUGUUGUGGAAAGUGACAACUGAAGGCAGACAACUCCCAAGUUAUAGCUCACACCCGAGGUAGGGCAGCAGCUGCCUUCACAGAACUCAAACCACCGCCUCAGCUCCACUCUCGUCCUCCUGCCCAGAGGGACAGAGUUCUUGCGGAACGAUCCUUAGCCCAAAAGCUAGCAGCUGGAAACGACAAACAUGUCACAGGGGCCGCAGUUGGGAACGGGGGCGGUCUCGCCAGGUGGUCCGCUCAGGGUCCGGUGUGGUGGCCGUCCCGCUCUUGGCUGCAAUGGUGGCCUCAUCCUUGGUGGGGAGCUGGGGGUCCACUUCCAGGCUCACUUGUGUGAGGUGGGCACGAGGUGCCAGCUUCUGUCUGGACGCUGCCGGAGCGUCUCCCAGUCCAGCUGUCCAAGAGAGGGCCCUUGGGGUAGAAACACGGGCUUACCGACCCAGCUCAGAGCUGGCGCCCCCUCAGAGCCGCCACCUCCUGCUGCCCCCACGGGCCACGCUGUGUGAUGACAGAACAGCUGUGCAGGACGAGAAACCAGGAGGUGCCGUGGGGGCCCCGGGCGGCCGCGAUCAGCAGAGCCAGUGCAGCAAGGUGAGCCUCCUUCACUGUAAAUAAACAUUUGUGCUGCCUGUUGGGGUUCUAAUGCUGUGCUGCAUGUUGCAGCAGAAGUCACAUCUCCGGCAGGAACUUAACGACCACCCUGUUUAAUCUCCUUACUCUGCCACACAAGGAACUGGCCUUCCAGAGACAGGCAGAAGCUUGCCCAGACAUAAAGAUACAGUCACUGGCCGCAGGGCUGUGAUCGGAAUGUGUGCUCUAAUUCAUGUCCAUUUCACCCCAAUGGUUACCAUGAAGAAAGCACAGCCUCUGCUUUUAAGAAUCUGAAAAAUUUCUUGGGAAGGCGAAUGCCGUUGGAAUGAGUGAAUGCAACAUGGUCUUAGUGUUUUCCAAAAGCUGUAGAGGGGAUUCUGCUCCACAGUGAAGGUAAGAAAAAGGCAGUGGGUAUCUUAGCAUGUGAGCAAAAUGUUUGGAGUAAAUCAUGAAGGAAGCUUAUUCAGAAGCAGGAGAGACGUCCAAGCGUCUGUCACAGGUCUGCCUUGCCCUGGACAGAGCUCUGCUCCCCACUGUGUCCAGAGGGUGACCGAUGACAGGUAUUCGAUAGCAUGUUUGUCGGCAAAGAGUGUUCAUUUGAGUUAAUUUAGUGCCAGGGAAGCAGAAAGAAAUGACACAUCCCCGUGGGGAACAAUAAUUGAAACAGGGUAGAUUUCUUAUCAGCGUGGAGACCAGAGCACAUGGAAGAACAUGUUUAAAAUGUGAAACCAAAAGAGCCAUCAAGUCAGAGUCGUAUCAGCAAAAGCAUCCUUCAGAGACGAGGAAGAUGCAGACCCCCGGGACGCACUCUCAUUGCCUGGUGCAAUGCACUUGCUUUGGAAGAACUGUUAAGGGCCCUUCAGGCAGAAGGAGGUGACACCGGAGGGCAACUCAGACUCCAGAAGGAAGAACAAGAGAAGCGGUAGAUCCCCGAGUGAACAGGGCGGACUAUAUCUCCUCUUCACGCCUGAUUUUCCUGGCUCUGAUGUCUGUUCUGUGUAACAUCAACAGGGCUGUCCGAGGGUUUUCCGUGUAUGUGCGUGUGAUACACAUGAGGGCCACGUGUAAAGGGAGAGGGGUCUAUGUGGUGACAGGGCUUCAUGCCGUCUGCAAACAGACAGUUUUACUUUUUCCUCACCAGCUUGGGUGGCUUUUAUCACUUUUUGUUGUCUGAUUGCUGCGGCCGGGACUUCCAGUACCGUGCUGAAUGAAAGUGGUGAGAGUGGACAUCUGCGUCUUGUUCCUGACCUCAGGGGAAAAGCUCUCAGGUUCUCACCAUUGAGGAUGAUGUUAGCUGUGGGUUUUUCAUAUGUGGCUUUAUCACACGUUGCCUCUUCACCCACUUUGUUGAGGGUUGUUAUCACGGAUGGAUGUUGUACUUUGUCAAAUCCUUUCUCUGCAUCUACUGAAAUGAUCAUAUGGUUUUUAUCCUUUCUCUUGUUGAUGUGAUGUAUCAUGUUGAUUGUUUUGUGACUACUGGGCCACCUUUGCAUCUCAGUAAUAAAUCCCACUUGAUUUUGGUAAAUUAUUUUUUAAUUUAUUGUUGGAUUUGGUUUGCUAGUAUUCUGUUGAAGAUUUUUGCAUCUGUGAUCACCAGAGAAAUUGGCUUGUAGUACUCCUUUUUGUAAUGUCUUUAUCUGGUUUUGGAAUCAGGGUCAUGCUGACCUCAUAGAAUGAGGUCAUAGAAGAAGGUCAUAGAAGAAGUUUUCCUUCUUCUUCUAAUUUUGGGAACGGUUUGGGAAGAAUGGGUAUUUACUCUUCUUUAAAGGUUUGGUAGAAUUCACCUCUGAGGCCUCUGGUCCUACACUUCCGUUUGUUGGGAGUUUUUUGAUUACUGAUUUAAUUUCAUUGCUGGUUAUCCAUCUCUUCAACUUUUCUAUUUCUUCCUGUGGCGAUGAGGUUCUACAUCCCACUUGCAGUAGUAAAAUGUCAAUUUUAAGUAGAUUGACAAGUAGAGUGAGAAGUUAAUAUCUAUGUUGUAAUCUGUAGAGAAACCACUAAAGAAACUGAGAAGAGAUAUAGCAAAAAAAAAAACAAAGAAAAGAAAAUUUAAUAAAAACAAAAUAUUAAAAUAUAUUCUAAUAAUCCAAAAGAAAGCAAGCAAGAGAGACGGGGGAAGAGAAAGGCUAUAGCUAAAACAUAAUAGGUGGAACACGUGAUGACAUCUAACAUCACUAGAUCAAUAAUGAAGCUGGGCACAGAUGACGUGAGCACACCACCUGAGACAGAGAUUGUUAGACCGGAGACAAGCAACACAACCUACCUAUAUGCAUCUACAAAAAAUAUAAAAAUCCAGGCGGAUUCUUCUAUUGAAAAUAGAAGGCAAGGAAAGUCCUAACAAGUCCUCUUUCAGUAAGUGAUAGAAAAGUUGACGGAAGAAAAAAAAAGAAAAGCUGAUGGGAAACAAACAGGGACCUGGAAGGACUGACGCGCCAGGAGCCAACAGGACCCCACUGACAUUUAUAGAAUAGUUACUGAAUGACCUCAAAGCAAGCAUCCCUCUUGAGUGCUAAUGGGACAUUCACUGGGACAGACCAUCCUUUAGGUCAUAAAACACACCUUAACAAAUUUAAAACAAAAACAAAAAAGUCACAAUGGAAUGAAAUUAGAAACCAAUAAACAUAUCUGGAAAAUUUCCCAAAUAUGUGGAAAUUUAACAGCACACUUCUAGAUAACCCACAGGUCCUGGAUGAUCUCUCAGAAAAAUUAGAAACUAUUUAAACUGAAUAAAAAUAGAAAUACAACAUAUCAAAACUUAGUGGUGUUCAGAGGAAAAUUUAUAGAAUUAACUGCUUAUAUAGGGGCACUUGAACCCCAUUGUUUAUAGUAACACUUUCAGGGGCGCCUGGGUGGCUCAGUCGGUUAGACGUCCGACUUCAGCCCAGGUCACGAUCUCGCGGUCCGUGAGUUCGAGCCCCGCGUCGGGCUCUGGGCUGACGGCUCAGAGCCUGGAGCCUGCUUCUGAUUCUGUGUCUCCCUCUCUCUCUGCCCCUCCCCUGUUCAUGCUCUGUCUCUC